ensembl:lncRNA
AGUUAGGAAGGGUAUGCCUUUGUAAGCAGUUUAACAGAUUGUGAGUCCUGAUCAUACUUUGAUCACAUUACUUUCAUAAAAGAAUAAUAUACACGCAACUAUAGUACCAUCAGUAUCAUUACAACUCUUUGUUUCAUUUUAUGAAACAAAAAAUCUUACAUCCAGAAUUUCAGUAUUACUUAGUCCAAUUUACAUGAAAAAACUAGAUAUAGAACAUUGGUCCCCUGAUAAUUUCUACUAAAUAAUCUAUUGUACAAGAAAAUGUCAUUUUUAACAAGCAUAUUUGCAAUGAUAAAAAGAACUUUAAUUUAUGGACAAAUUUGUAAUCAGAAAAACAUUACUUCAGCACAGGUAUUUGUCCCUGGGCAACGGGAGAAAGGAGUUUUGGAUUAGGUAAUUUUUUAAUGUUCUCUUCAACCCUAAGGCUCUACGGUUGAUUAGUUAUUUUAAAAGGAUGGUUAUUAAAGUAAAACUGUCUGAAGACUUUAGUGGGUACUUACAAAAUGAUUAUAGUUGGCUCUUACAUCUCUUUGCCAUUCACUCUUUUUUUUUUUCUUUUGAGAUGAAAUUUCACUCUUGUCACCCAGGUUGGAGUGCAAUGACUCCAUCUCAGCUCACUGCAACCUCCGCCUCUCAGGGUGAAGUGAUUCUUCUGUCUCAGCCUCCUGGCAAUUCACUCCAGAACAUAUAUUUAUUGGUACGAGGAAGCAGUAAUUGUCCUGUUGAAUCCAAGGGGCAGAAAGUGAACAAAAACAUCCUCCAUCACAUUGCUCUGGCCAAGGUGCUGAAAUCAGUCCCUAAAAUUGCAUUCCAAGUAUCAAAUCACUUAAGCUGAAUCACCCAGACUCUUCUAGAAACCCACAAACAUGACUUGAUGGAAAAGGAAAGUGAACAUACGGAAAAGAAUCUUGGAAAUACAGAAUGGCAGAGUGUAGUAGACCUCAGCAAGCAGCUAAGUUUAGAAUACUGGGACUAAACGUAUUUUUACACCCUGUGCUUGCUUUGAUGUGGAAAAUUGAUCUUUCAAUUUUUCCCUCAUUAUUCUAAUGCCAUAUUUCAUUCAUAUUUGAUUCACUUGCUAAUUUUUACUUUUAAUGUUGCCUACUGCUCCAAGCCUCUUUCUCUGUUUGUUUUGUUUUGUCCGUUUGUUUUUGAUAGGGUCUCACUCUGUCACAAACCUGGAGGGCAGUGGAGCAAUCACAGUUCACUACAGCCUCAUCCUCUCUGGCUCAAGGGAUUUCCUGAGUAGUUGCAACUACAGGCAUGUGCCACCACACUCUGCUAUAUAUAUAUUUUAGUUUUUUUGUAGAGACAGAGUCUCGCUAUGUUAUCCAGACUGGUCUUGAACACCUGGGCACAGCAAUCCUUCUGCCUCAGCCUCCCAAAAAGCUAGAAUAACAGGCAUGAGCCACCACAUUUGGCUCUUUUUUUGUUACUACUAAUAUGAAAUAUGUCUCAGGGUUAUCUACUUCCAAGUCUUUAGACCAAGCUUAUUGAAUAUGUCAAACACCUACAUGGAGUUCAUAGAUUAAAAAUAUUAUCUGUACAUGAAUGAUAGGGAAAUAUAUAAUGACAUGACGGCAUCUGAAGUUUAACCGGUACAUUU